GGGGAGUAAAGCUAUUAUAUUAUAGCUUCAAUUAAUUGUUCCUUCAUUUGUUUAUUUGGGUAUUCUUCUUUUCUUUGUUUGUUUGAUUUGUGUUCUUUGAUGGUUCAUUAUAUACAUAUAUAUGUUAUUUUGUCAUGAGGAAAACUGGAAAUGCAAUAUGUUUUGCUAUUAUUUCCUAUGCUCUUUACUUGAUGGUUUGAUUUGAUUGUCAAUAUUUUCACAGGUGAAAAGGUCAAAAUCACACCAAAAAAUAAAAGAAGUAUUGUAGUAAUAUUGAAUUGUUAAUUCUUACUUAUUUAGUAAUUCCAACCAGUAACAAAGAUUUCGACUCAUGUAAUAAGAAAUUCUCUGAGAAUCUGUCUAGAAAUGACCCUUGCUCAAUUUUCUAAAUUUUUGUCAAAUUAGUUUGGACCUCCUAUAAUUAGAGCUGUGCCACUAGGAUGACAGGUAGAAUUUUCCUAGGCAAACCCUAUACACCACAUGAAUUGCUUUUAGUUGAAGUUAGACUCUUGAGCCAAUAAAUUAAUAUGCUUCAAAAAUAGCUACUGCCUAGUACAAAAUAUAGAAAAAAAAAGGACUCAUAAGGAUGAGUUACUGUGUGAGCCCAUGGAUUUAGCCAAGAGACACGAGUACAUGAUGUGUGAGUUGGGCACAUGUCACAUAUAUGAACUCCAUCGCAAGUUGAUAUUUAAGUAGAGAAUAAUAGAUCUAGAGGAUGUGUGAGUUGGGCUCGCAUCACUAGAACAUGAUAUGUGAGUUAGGCGUGUCAUGUAUAUGAACUCUGCCGCGGAAUUAAUAUUUAAGUGGAGAACGAUAGAAAGGCGACACAUUAUCCACCGAGUUUUGUGCUCCGAGCAAAAUCUAUCAUCAAAUAUUCUUAUACAUGCCCACCUAACAUCUAUCCAUCAAUCUAGCAAGUCAUAACCAAUAUAUAAAGGGUAUCUUGUGCUGAAAAGUGAAAGGGGAAGUAAAAGGGUACAAAAGGCUGGUCUUUAUUGCUGAUAAUCAUGUUUUCCCCCAUGGCCUAAAAAGCAAAAGAAAAAUCAAGACUCUACUUGAGUAGCUUUACUCCAUAGCAUUUCCUAAACAAAGGGGAUGAAAGAUGAUAGACUUCAUAACUUACCCUCAAAUUACUUGACAUCUAUGUUACCUUCCAAGGACAAGGGGUUGCUUUGAUGGUAAGCAACCCCCACUUCCAACCGAGAGGUUGUGAGUUCGAGUCUUC
rnacentral:lncRNA from 1 species